CACGUAGGGGCCAAGCGUUGUCCGGAUUUAUUGGGCGUAAAGAGCUCGUAGGCGGUUCGACAAGUCGGGUGUGAAAACUCCGGGCUCAACCCGGAGACGCCACCCGAUACUGUCGUGACUGGAGUCCGGUAGGGGAGUGGGGAAUUCCUGGUGUAGCGGUGAAAUGCGCAGAUAUCAGGAGGAACACCGGUGGCGAAGGCGGGGUCUCUGGGCCGAUACUGACGCUGAGGAGCGAAAGCGUGGGGAGCGAACAGG
rnacentral:rRNA from 1 species